rnacentral:lncRNA from 1 species
UAGUGGAGAAAAGAGAAAUGCAUCGAAAUGUAAUAAAUAAAACGGGUACGGUAACACUCAACUGAAUGAAUGAAGCUUGUAUUUAUUACAGUAGAAUAGUUACAGAACAAAUCUGAGAGCAGAUUUUUUACGUGAGCCAUAGCUUCAUUCAUGGGAUUCAUGCGACAGUCAGCGACAAUAUCUUAUGAACACUUAAUCAGAGGAGAGCGCGAACACAGUCCCCCACUACCAGAAAUUAUGCAGUCAAGAUUCCCACAUUUGGGGAGAUCGCAGAACCUGUUUCUACGGUAGUGCAAAGUCUACAGUCUACAGUGUGGAAUGUCUACGGUCUACAGGUCACCGUAGACAGUUACGCUGUCCGAUUUGUCGGGGCUGAGUCGACACGCGGACCCCCAACAACCAAUCACAGCGCUCGUUUCCAAAGGUACAGUAAACACAUCGGCUGGACAGAUGCUGACUUUUUUUUUGCCGGACACCAGAUUUUAUUCCUGCCACAGGUAAAGAUGGCAACAAUCCGCGUUGUGAACCCAGGCGCCCCUGCACAUCGUCAGCAGGCUGUGCUGCUGUCGACUAAAGAGGCACGUCUUUACCGGGAGAAGAAAAAGGUCUUCCCAAAACCUCCCCUGGAGCUGCUGAACCCACUCACUGCACUGGACCAUGCAGAGACAUUCCUCCAAGCAGAGGGAGUCCCUGCACCGUCACGACAGCAGUGUCUGGGACGGCUGGUGUUGCUGUUCGGCCAGUACGGACACGCACCUUUCCACUGGCUUGUGGAGAACGACGUAGGCUAUAUGAAGUAGUAAGUGUGUUACGUUUAUCACUUUUGUAGGUGAAAAACUACAGGGGCAACAUGUUACAAGCCUUUGACGUUCAUCAGCGUUUUGGGGUUUAUUCAGGUUCAUUGUUCCUUUAGGAACUUCAGUGAGAAUAAUGACCCAACUAAAUUCAUGUACCUUUGUGAUUGCAGCAUAGUUGACAAGCACAGAACAGAGAUGUCAAACCCCCAUAGAAAGGUAGUGUCGUGUAUUUCUAUUCUCUUCAACCACGACAGAGAUUUCACAAGAACUCAUCUUUGAAGUUUAAAUCAAUAGCAUAAAAAUUUAUUAUACAUGACAAAUUAAAUCAAUCAGAUAAUGAUUACAAAAGAGUAAUAGCAAGAGAGGCAGAAACCAAAUUCACCUGCUUGUUCCUCUGCAGAGAGAACUGAGAGGUCGGAAAAGGUCCGCUGUGUGCUACCAGCGGACCCUCUGCGAAGCGCUCUGAAAACCCCAGCCUGUGAAGGCCUGCUUUUAACCACCACCUAAAAUCUUUCCACAUGUCCAAAUAAGGACGUGUAGAUGUUUUUCUCGGCUACUCUGAAGGUCCUGGCGCUGGGCCGUGUUAUCUGUCCAGCUCCCGGAUGCAUCUGGCCCACCAUCAACCUCCUAAUUCCUUUCCCAGGUCGGUGUGACAUUUUGAAUAUUUCCUUAGGAACAGCUCGGAUAAACAGUUUACGCAACAGAUUCUGCGAACACAGAUUCUGCGAACCCAGUUCAAGCAAACGCUUUCACCCCAGUCACUGAGGACACACAAACCCAUCUACUCUCUGUACUUCUCUCAUAAGCAAUGAUCAAUUUUACUGCUAAAAGUAAAUGUAAAUGUCUGUUUCCUGGAGUCUAUCCCAGAUGCUCCCCAGACAACGACCCUGCCAAACUGCAAGGGUUGAGGAACAGUCGCUGCAUCUUAACCUGACC